rnacentral:rRNA from 1 species
CCUACGGGAGGCAGCAGUGGGGAAUCUUCCGCAAUGGGCGCAAGCCUGACGCAGCAACGCCGCGUGCAUGAAGAAGGUCUUCGGAUCGUAAAGUUCUGUUCGUAGGGAAGAAGUCUUAGGUUGUGAAUAAUGACUUAAGGUAACGGUCCCUAUGGAGAAAGCUCCGGCUAACUACGUGCCAGCAGCCGCGGUAAUACGUAGGGAGCGAGCGUUAUCCGGAAUUAUUGGGCGUAAAGGGCGCGUAGGCGGGAACUGAAUUUAGAUGUGAAAACUCCGGGCUUAACCUGGGGACUGCAUUUAAAACUGGGUUACUUGAGGGCAGGAGAGGAAAGUGGAAUUCCUAGUGUAGCGGUGAAAUGCGUAGAUAUUAGGAGGAACACCAGUGGCGAAGGCGACUUUCUGGACUGUAACUGACGCUGAGGCGCGAAAGCAUGGGGAGCGAACAGGAUUAGAUACCCGAGUAGUC